rnacentral:lncRNA from 1 species
UGCUGUCCUGUCUCCAUCGCAUCCCCUUCUGUACUGCUGAGGUUUUAAGUAGACGUAUGUGUGAUACUCUUGCAAUAAACUAACUAGGUAACAAAAAAAACUAAAUGAAAACUUAGGUGAUGAAAGGAGUUCCUAUCCAGAUCAAAUACUCCCAUGUGCCUGUACUUCCUUCUAUAGUUUUAUCAGCUUCUCUCACCUUUUGAAGAUUCCUACACUUCAUUUCAAUUCAAUUAAAAUCAACUUACAUGCUCCAAUUACAGAUAGCAUAUUCUAAUUUUUACCAUGGGACCUGGAGACAAAUUUUAACAUCCCUCCCACCCCCACCAAACACAAGUUUAUCCAGGCUCAUUUACUGAGGUCUCUGAAGUCAGGCUGUGUAACUACAGAGAAACUGCUAAACUUCUCUGUGGCUCUCAUUCCUUCUUCUAUAAAAUUGUAAUGGUAACAAUAAUAACAUAUCCCCUAGGGGUGGUGUGAGAAUUAAGUGAAUACACAUAGCACUUAGAACAGUGCCUAAUAUAGCAAACAAGGCUUUGCAUACUAUUAUUAUUCAUUCAACAAUCAUUUGUGGAAGGGCUCUGAUAUACCAGAUACUGGGGCAGGUCCUGGGCAGAGGCUGUGGAUGCUCCUUGUGCUUCCCCCACCCCUCGCACAAUGCCUGCCGCAUCAGGGGUCCUUAAUAGAUAGUUACUCAAUGGGAUUGUCCAAAGUCAACCAACCCAUGGAUAAAACCAAUCAGCCCUGACAUUAUGGUUUCCAGUCUGGUGCUGGAGAUGCAAAGGUGAUGGCUUUAUUUCCCAGUAUUAAAUCUUUAGAGAAAAAAGUAUCCCAGUAUUAAAUCUUUUGAGAAGCUUCGAUCGGCACCUUGGGAGAGAAUGGCCCAGUGAGCAAAGAUGGGCCAAGUCUGAAGCCCACACACUUAUCCUUCAUGUGUGUGAAUGAGGUGGACCCACCUGGAGGAAUACAACAUCCCCUUGGGGCAAUUCAUCAGUUGUAAGAGACGCGUCGCUCUGAGAAAACGGAAUGCAAGGAAGACAGGCACUGCAGGUUGGGUAGACACACC